rnacentral:lncRNA from 1 species
AGCAGGGGGGAACAUCUGCUAGGGUUUUUUCUUUAACCCAACCCCCCUGCAAAGCCACCACAACCUCCACAGCGGAUCUGAGGCCCCUCUCCGACUCCGAUUCGGGUAACAAGCAGGGUUCCUUCCUCGCAGGUAAGUAUACUCUCUCUCUUUUCUUUUCGUUUAUUGUUUAUUUUAAGAAACAAGUAGGAAAAUAAAAGAGUAAAAAAAAGUAAAAAAAAAGGAAAAAAACGGAGCAAAUUUUCACCUUCAAAAAUUGUUUUCUCUUUUUGAUUCUUUGUUUUUCAGUAUUCUUUUCAAUCCAACAUCCAUCCCCCCCCCUUUUCUUUUCUUUACAAUUGGUUUAUAUAACCGAAAAUAAAAAAUAAAAUACAAAAUAAUAAAAUAUUUUCUGUUAUUCCUAUUAUUUCGUUGUUGCUUGUUUCCGUUUGUUGCUGCAGGCAUGGCUAAAGGCGUGCGGAGCGACGUUUUCGGAGGUGCGCAAAAGGGCAGCAGUUGCGGCGCCAGUUUGCUGCCACUGCUUAGGGUUUUCUGCUCUUUGAGAAUUUUGGGCUAGGUUUAGUGGGCUGGGCAUGUUUGGGUCUAUUUAUUUUCUUGGGCCCGGGCAUAUUUGGGCUUGUACAACUACUAUUUUGCCUUAAUCGAUAGACAAUUUUUAAUUUUUAAAAUAUAUAUUGUGAAUUAUGUUUCACAAAAUUUAUAAUUGAACUAAAUAUAUAUUGUUGUUAAUGUACGAAUGUGUAGGUUUGAGUGUACUGAAAUUUAUUAUUCUCCUAUUUAUGGGUUAAAGAAAAAUUAUGAAUAAUUCUAGACAUUGUAUGAAAAAAAACAGAUAAUUAAAAAAAAUUCUGAUAUAAAAAUUUUAUCGUUCUUUUUCACUUAUAAAGAUGAAAAUAUAUAUAGUAAAUAUCAAAUUAGUUAUAGGUUUUUUUACUCAAAGUUUAGUUAAUUUAAAGAUGUUCACCAUAAUUUACCUUCCAAUUUUACUUAUUAAAUUGAUCACAGGAUCAAAAUUAAUUUUUUAUGGAGGUACAAAUAUGGGAACUAGUUGUUCUAUAUGGUAGCUAGAUAUGCAAAUACAAUGCAAAAUUCAAUUUCAAAACAACUCAAAUGGAAUGUAUGCAUGCAAAUAUAGAAACCUAUUAAAGUUUCCAUAUAUAUAUUUAUACUUUUAUGGCUUACGCCAUUCUCUUUCAUUUUGGUUCAUCAGGAAUCCAUCAUUUCCCCCACUCAAAUAUUAGCAUAAACAAAACCAGUCUUCAUUUUUCUUUUUCAUUUUUUAUGCCUUUUCCACUAUAUAUAUAUAUAUAUAUAUAUGUACAUACAUCCAAAAGGUUAUGUUUGGAGUCAUAUAGUGUGUAAACUAUGUUAGAGUUUGUAUGGAACAAUGGAGUUCAUAGGUUUCUCUCUAAAAGUCAAAGGUUCUUAUUCUUCUUCUUCUUCUUCUCACUUAUAUUUUGUUCAUUUUGAGCAUAUAGUCAUGGGAAUGAGCGUGUUUGCUUUCUGAUUGUUUUUUUACUAGGAAAGAUAUAUAGUCUAUGAUAUAGUUUUUGUUUCUCUUUCAAAGUUUGCAUGGGGAUAUUAAUACAAGAUGUAUCUUUAUCAGAGUGAUAUUGGCAGUAGCCAUGAUUGGAAGUCUGGGAGCUUUGAUUAUCUUGGUGGAUCCUGCUGGUGUUCGUCAGCCUCAUCGGAUUCUGGUCGAUACAGAUGUUGAUACCGACGACGUUUUUGCUCUCUUUUAUCUUUUGAAGCAGGACACGACGCGAUUCGACUUGCAGGUAAUACCCUUUAGAGCCGAUCGGUACCCAAAGAGGAUAAUACCUUCAUAUCCUGCAAACUCUCUUUAGAAUGAUCAACAUCAAACUGCAGUACAUGGUUGCUAUUGUUUAUUCACAACAGUUCCCUCUCUCUUUGAAUAGCAACAUCAGUCAUCUUUAAAGCAAUUGACUAUAUGAUUAAUCCUUGUUUAUCAUUAAAGAUAAAAAGUCUAAAAGUGGCUGCAUGCUUAUCUAACACUAAUAGUCCAUUAUAUACUUUUAAGAUUUGAUGGAAAUGCUAAUAUAUAAAUAUAACUGAGUGGCUAAAAACCAAGUCAACAUUUGGUGAAGUUGCCAUUUCCUUAAACAAACAAUUACUUUAUUGUAAAAUAUAACCAUUUCCAAUGGGGGUUAUCAUUUGGCAGGCAAUUACAGUGAAUGCAAAUGGAUGGAGUGAAGCAGGGCAUGCCAUUAAUCAUAUAUACGAUAUUCUAUUCAUGAUGGGACGUGAUGAUAUUCCUGUGGGAGUUGGAGGUGAAGGUGGUAUUUUGCCCAAUGGCACUAUCCUUCCUAAUGUUGGUGGAUAUCAACCCAUUAUUGACCAGGUCCAGGAUCAUCUUUCAACCUUUUUGAUUAACCAAUAAAACCAUUCCAUGUCUCAUCAACAAGCUAUAUAGGAUGUAUAUAUAAAUAUAAUGGAACCCCAUUAUCAUAGGUAUAAUUAUGAGUGAUGAUUAAAUGAAGAAAAAGGAAGAUACUUUUAACAUUUUUUUGUGUGGCAGGGAAUGUCAACAGCUGGGGAAUGUAGAUAUAGGCAAGCAAUCCCUGUGGCACAUAGAGGGCGUCUUGAUGUCAAUUCUAACUAUGGCAUUAGGAAAGCUUUCCUUCCACAGGUCCCAUUUCUAGUUCUUGUCUAAAGGCUUAUUUCUAAAAGACACUCGAACAAGUUUAAAAAUGUUUUACCCCAUUUUUCAAAAAUUGUUGGACAUGAAACAAAGUUUUAGUUUCUGCAGAGACAAGUUCAAAUGUUGUCAAAUGUGUUGAGUUCAUUAAACUUGUUUCUCAAUGUGUUUCAAGUCCUAGUGACAGCUUUUUUUCUCCCUACAUGACAUAGGGUGGCAGGAGGUAUACUCCACUUAAGCAACCCACAGCACAACAAGUGAUGAUAGAUACAAUAUCUUCAGGUCCUACAACCGUGUUUCUCAUGGGAGCACAUACAAACUUUGCCAUCUUUCUUAUGACCAAUCCUCACUUGAAGAAAAAUGUUAAGCACAUUUAUGCAAUGGGAGGUUCGGUUAGAUCGAACUGUUUGAAGAAAGAUGGUUCUGGUAAUUCAAUCGAAUGUGCUGAUAUUGGUAAUCUGUAUCCACAAGAUAGCAAUCCAUAUGCUGAGUUCAAUAUAUUUUCAGAUCCUUUUGCUGCUUACAAGGUAUUCUUUUGGUUGUUUUCAUUUGAUAUUCAUGAAUUCAUUACUCUAUUCGGUAUUUGAAUCUUUUUCUUUUGAGCAGGUUUUGCAUUCUGGUAUCCCAUUUACACUUAUUCCUCUAGAUGCAACAAAUAGCAUUCCUGUAAGUAAGAGUUUCUUCAUGGAGUUUGAAAGGAGACAGGAUACGUACGAGGCAAAAUAUUGCUUCCAAGCUUUGAAGAUUAUUCGCUAUACCUGGUUGGGUGGUAUAUUUUAUGAGGUAAUGUCCCUUGAAUCCUUGUGAUUCAUUCUUCCCUUUUGCAGACAUCCAACUAAGUGACUGAUGAAAUGUUGGCAGCAAUAUUGUAUGUGGGACUCUUUUCUGGUUGGUGUAGCAUUAUCUACAAUGCGUAACUCUCACAAUCAUAAUGGAGAAAAUAAGUUUGCAGAGAUGCAAUAUAUGAACAUAACGGUCGUUACCUCAAAUAAACCUUAUGGAGCAUUAGAUGGCUCAAAUCCACUGAUUACAGGAUAUUCAAUCCCAAAGUUUAAUGUACACAAGAAUGGGGUUCAUAGUGGCCAUGUUCAAAUGGGAAUGCAAGAUCCCUUUUGCCUUCAGAAAGGAAAAGGGAAAUGUCAGGUAUUAUCAGUACACAGUAUAGCUGAUUUGAAAAAGUUUAGGGCUUAUAUGUACCGUUAAUUAUACAUGUAAGUUUUUAUCUAUAGGUUCUCUCACUGUAAGGAACUCAUCGUAUAUCUUUUAGAAAACAUAGCUUCUUUCAACCAUGAUAUUGAUUGUCUGACAGAACUAUACAAUGCUAACAGGAUGGUUACACGAAAGAAGAUACUGGAGAGGAUGCCGUGCGUGUUCUUGUUGCAGUGAAAGCUAAAGCCAGUCAUGAUAAGGGAAGCUCACUUGGAAGAGAAUUUUAUAGAAGUUUUCUCAAUGUAAGCUCUUAUUAAUAGUUUCUCAAUAACACCAAUUUUUGUUGUUUAAUUAAUUAAUUCACAGACAAGUAACCAGGAAAUGCUGUGGUAAUUUUUUGGAACCAAACUGUAGUUUCAUCCCUUCUGUUCAUUGUAGGUCAUAAAUAGCCCUGAGAGAAGUGGAAGGUUUGAUAUCAGAAGCCAAUAUCCAAACCACAAGGAGGCUCUUUAUAAACCAGAUUUCGGAAAGAAGAUGAGGGGAAAUCCAAUUGUUUUCGACAUGGAUAUGAGCGCCGGGGACUUUCUAGCUCUUUUAUAUCUCCUCAAGUUACCUGUGGAAUUAAUUAAUCUCAAGGUACUUUAAGCUGGACUGGGUUUACUAAGUCUAACUUCAAUACAGACUGCUGAUCUCAUGAGUUAAGCAUCUGCAACUUUAAAGUGAACAAAUAUGGCAAUGUUCUAUAAGUUUCAUUUAAGUAUUACCAAUAUUCAGGCCUUUUACAUGGAACAGGACACAUAACUAUCCCAAUUUUAUGGAUUCGCUGAAGUUCCUCAUGCUUGAUAUUUCUAUGUUCAACUAGGGAAUACUUAUCAGCUCAACAGGCUGGGCAACUCCUGCAACGAUUGAUGUUGUGUAUGAUAUAUUACAUAUGAUGGGCCGUGAUGACAUUCCGGUAGGUCUUGGUGAUGCAUUCGCAGUUGGUCAAGCCAAUCCAUCUUUCACUGCUAUUGGAGACUGCAAGUUUUCCAAAGCGAUCCCUCAUGGUAGUGGUGGUUACUUGGACUCCGACACGCUAUAUGGACUAGCUCGUGAUUUACCUCGAAGUCCAAGAAGGUAAAUCCCAGCCUUCAGAUUUGCAUUCUUAUAUGUGCAAUCUGUUGAAUGUUCAAACUUGAAAAUUCUCAUUUUAAAUCCUUUGACCCCUUCAUUUCCAGUUGUGUAAGGAUUAUCCCUGGAUAAAAACUGAUAAAAUUCCAAAUAAUACUAUGAUAAUAACAAUUAAAAAACCAUGAGCAGAACAAGUUAAAAUAUGUGGCUUACUGGCCCUCUAAUGACUUUUCAGAUAUACGGCAGCAAACUUUGUCAAGUAUGGAGCUCCUAGAGAUAUUGAGAAUCCCGAACUCAGGCAGCCAUCAGCUCAAGAUGUUUGGAAAUCUGUAGUGGAAAAUUUGGAUCCAGGAUCCAAGAUCACAAUAUUGACUAAUGGACCUUUGACAAAUUUAGCUCAGAUCCUUGGGUCGGAGAAUGCAAGCUCGGUGAUUCAGGUAAUGAUAUGAUAUCAGAGAUUUCAGUCUCCCUGCAAAUAAAAAUGCCUUGAAACCUGGACAAAAUGGUGACAUUGAUAACAUAUAUUUUCUGAUGCAGGGAGUAUACAUUGUUGGAGGACACAUAGGCAAUGUCUAUGACAAUAGCAAAGGAAAUCUUUUCACUGUUCCCUUGAAUAAAUAUGCAGAACUUAACAUGUUUCUUGAUCCAUUAGCUGCAAAGGAAGUUUUCACUUCAUCUCUGGGCAUCACACUUGUUCCACUGCAGAUGCAAAGAAGAGUUAGUUCCUUCAGCACCAUUCUUAGCAGGAUGAAUGCCACAACUCAGACUCCUGAACUUGUAUUUGCCCGACGUUUACUUUCGAGACUUUGGCAAUUACAACAGCAACAUUAUAGAUAUCAUCACAUGGUAAUUUAAGAAAACCUUCAAGCAUAUUUAUGAUGAGGUUUUAUGAGUUUCAGAUAUGAUAUAUAUAUUUUUGAAGAGAGGCUAAAAUCCUUGAAUACUUUCAAUGCAACUUAUGGAUGCCGAAGAACUUAGAUCAGAUUGAAACUACUUUGUGUCUUUGCAGGAUAUAUUUUUAGGAGAGAUCCUUGGUGCAGUAACCUUGACUGGAAAUCCACAUCUGAACCAGACAUUUACGUCCAAGCCUCUUAAGGUCUUGGCAGAUGGAGACAUUGCAGUGAUAGGAGAGAUAACCAUUGAUGAAGAACAAGGGAAACAAGUGAAGGUUUUGGAAAAUAUUAAUUCACAGGCAUACUAUGACCAUUUCACUAGGGUCUUAGGUGAUCACAGACAAUCUGCUGUGCUUGCAAGCUUUCAUGAGCAGGAAAGACUGUGGACGUCACGACCAGAAAGUAUAAAUAUCGGCCAUAAUCAGAAGUUGUAAAUGUUUGUUGUAAAUUUAGCCAUUGCUUUCAACAGUUUUGACAUCUUUCUGAAGCAGUUUCUUCUACAUAGUGCGUAUGAGCUUAGCAGCAGACGAAGUAUAGGAAAAGUUACAAGAAUUUUCUCUUUCAUUGCUGCUAUUUAUUACUUUUUUCCCUGUGCUUGAGCUACUAGCUCCAUCAAUUCAUCAUCAGAUCCACCCUGCAGUUCAAUGUAAAUAUAUUUCAUUGUCAUGUUCUUACCUACAAAUAUUAUAUGUACAUUAAACAAAGAUGCAUGCUCCAUUAUGAGUAUGUAAAUAGCAUACCCCUUUUUAGUAGUGAGAUCAUCAGAUUGCAAUUAAUCAUUUGCUAAUCAUUCAGAAUCUAUAGAAGUUAUUGUCUCUAUAUAUUUGGGACAAUCAAGAGAAUGUUGUGGAAGUUGGAUUUUUGGGAAGUGCUUUUGCCAAUGCUGCCUCCAUAAACCUUUGCAUUAUCCUUCAAAGACAGAUUAUUUAGUGAUCAUAGAAUAAUUAGAGCAAUGAAUAUCUGACCAAGCAUAGCUCCUGUUAGUAUUAUUAUUAAGCAAACAAAAUAACAUUGCAGCAUAUAGUGGUACCCUUCCCCUAUCAAGGCACUUGUCUCGAAGGACAGAACCGUGAUGAUGGUCUUUACCUUCGAAGUGAACAACACAUCACACUGGACACAGAUAAAAAAACUCCUUGUAUCAACAUUUAAUAUUAUUAGGUCAGACAAUUGGUCCACAUUUCAGCUCUUUGCACUUAACAUCAUGAUCUGGUGUGAUGAUUUAGACACGUUCUAACCUUUAGGUUGCAUAAGAAACAUUUUAUGCUCCCUGGUUCUUCAACAUAAAUUAUACAGAGUCAUGUCUUUGAAGUUCCAAUGUCUGCGUGGUUGUAUAUGACACCAUGGCAGUGCAUGAACAAUGCAUACAUAAGCCCUGCACUUGGAUUCCUCUGUCCUUUCUAUUACUUAAAAUAUUAGCCUUAUGCAACAUAAAGUGGAAUCCCCCAGCUGGAAGGUUUUCUUCUUUUCUUUACAGGGUCAGGGUGGGGGUUGUGAAAUUAUUACUUUUGCAUUAAUGAGAAAUUGGCCAUUCCUCACUUUUUUUCUAUAAUUUCUUUUUAUGUUAUCUGGAUUAUUUGUUUAACCUAAACUAUCUUUUAUGUAUGGGCAUGAUCCUUUAGAUACAUGAAAAAUUCGAGCAUACAUGCUCAUAGUGCAGGUAACAUUCUAGAGCCUCUUACUGGUACAGUGAUAUAUUACAUAUGGAUCUGAAACCAUGAAAAACGUUGAAGAAGAUGGUCGGUGACUUGGGUGGGUGAUAAUGAUAUCGAUUCUUAUAAAAUACUAUGAAAAGAUGAAAGGAAUUUAUUUGAUGCUCUGUCAUUACAGCAUAUGUUUUGGCUUUACUUGCAAGAUUACCACCAAACUAAUUAAGGGGGGACAUCCACUCAUGUGAAAAAAAAUAGUUUUGACCACAUAAAAUAAUCAUGUUCGAUGAAUGUGAUAGAAGACAGGCCAGUACUGAAAUGGUGAUUAUAAAAACAUUUUGAGACUUUAUAAGAGAGAAAAUCACCCCAACAAAACGUGGGGUUUCUACUUCAUUUUCAAUGCCUAAAAUGCAACAGUAACAACUACUUUAUAAAUCAUUAAUUAAAGAACGUCAAAUAUGGGAUCCUGUCUGUACCUGUGAAUGGUCGGUGAUAAUGUUUAUUUUGCCAAAGCAUUUGUUUUUGUCUUUUGAAUAUCUCCAUCUACAUGCAUAUAGUGGUUGAACUCAUUCAACCAAAAAUUGUUGCAUGUGCAUUCAUUUUAGCCAGUUAUUCAACAGUUUAACACGUAUUGUUGAUAAGAAUAGUUGUUUCAACAAAAUCAUGAGGAAUCUCAACUCCUUGAGUUUGGUUGCAAAUUGUUAUUCACAACUAAGAGUAGUUGUUGGAUUAAUCUAAUUGAUUCAUUAAUUAACAAGCCAACCCUUUUAGUUCUUUUACCAAAUUGCUGGUAUGGCCUCGUUUUUGUCUAAAAUGCAGAUGAUAAAGAUGAAAGUUCACUUCUUUUGCUAAACUGACUGUCCUAGACAUGUCUGAACCAUGUUUUUAAGGUUUAGGGAGGAUAAAGCUGAGUAGUUUCUGAUAUAUUAGUACAGACAUUAAAGAGGUCACUUCAGAGACAUGCCAAAAUGAAACAAAAGAAGUCCAGAUUUUCUGAGGCACGGUUUCUGUUGUAAAUGUAGUUCCUUUUAAUGGAAAAUGACUGCAAUCUAGUUUGGUAAAUUGCCCUUUCCAGAUCUCAUUAAACAUCUGUAGUCCUUUGCUCCAGAGGAUGGAAGAUUCCUGAUAAGAUUUUGUUUCAUUUCUCCAUAUGUUGUUUUUAAACAGAUACAUAAUUAAUGGAGUAUGAAAUUGAAUGAUCCAAAAUCAGGAAAGAAAAAGCAGUGUAAAGGAAAGAGCUGGAAGGGUUUUAUUCACAUUCUUUGUCAUUGCUCAUACACUGAAGAUAUGAUACAAGCUUAAGCUCGAAAGUAGAUAGACCCCCUUCAGUAGCUUAGUUACCCUACUAAAACUGCAAUAAUUGAAAACCAACGAAGAUAAAAGAAAAUAACUUUUUCUACAUUGCCAAAAUAUCAUUUUUGGUCCCUUGUUUUUUCUCUGCAAAUGAUUUUUAGGUCUCUUUUUGAAGCCAAACUAUUACAUCGGAAAUGAGCCUCCAGCAGUCAAGAUCUGCUGUUCAAGCUGCAGUCCAUGAAAUGGAAAAAUCAAUCCUUGAAGUUAACAAAGAAUUCAGGGUAAAACCUAUUUGGAAAGAAAGAAAAUCUCUCUUCUACAAGGCAACCUUACCUGGAACAAAGAUUCAAGCUUGGUUUUCACAAGCGAAUACUCAUGCCUCACUUGUUGCAGACAUUUAAGACACCUAUGUAACACAUAAAAAUUUCAAACUUCUCAUAACUUUUAGCUGCAAAUGCAAUAAAAUGUAAUGAUUUAAGGCAUAAAAUGGACUCACCCUUCGACGUUCUGCUCCUCGCAGUAGUUGCGGAAGGCUAUGCAGACUUUCUGAACUCUCUGAGCGCCAAUGCUGUUAAUUUGACAACAUUUUACCAUGAAAAAUUAAACAUAAAUAUGAACAACAACAAGAGAUAGGAGAAAGCUAUACAAUUAAUGGACUUCCUUCAUGUGGGACAUGAAAAAUUGAUGACCAUAAAAUACAAAUUUCAAAAGUACAGAUUUUUAUUGCAACAUUACAAAUGUUACAGUUGAGUAUCAGUAUAAACUCUGUGAAAGUGAAUUUGCAGUUUGGAACUGAUUUUUUUCAGUGACAAACUUUGCCAUAUGUUGGUACAAAGUUAACCAUUGAAAAAAAAACAUGUUUACUGAACAAGCGAUGCAUAAGUUUUCCCAUGAUCUCAUGUGAAGCUAAAAAAAGUCACUGAGGUUAAAAAUUUAGAGAAAAAUACCUGGAGCUACUACCUUUCAACUGGUGAACAUGAGCAUCAAUCCUUUUGUAAUCUAUGUUCUGCUGCUCUCUAUAUUAAGAUCACAAAGCAAAAACCAAACCACAUUAAGAAAAUGUAUGGAGAGACAUGGAUAGUUCAGUUUACAACAAAAGGAAUUGUUUAAAAAUGGUUAAACCCUCACAGAGCUCUAGCCAGUUCAUUGAGAAGUCUUUCAGAAUCUUCAAAGAAAAGAGACACCACUUCAACCACAAAAUCUGGGUUGUUUUCAUCUUGAAGUUCUUGAAGUUGGGUGAAUUGUUCAUCCAGAAAACCCUACUCAUUAAACAAUAAAACUAAUCACUCAAAAAUCUAACAUCAAAAACCAAAAAAGCUGAAAGCAAAAUAAAAUAAAGUAAAAUAAAAUAAAAGCUAACCUCAUGAUAGAGUGAGGUUUUGUAGUCAACAAACUGCCUUUGCAACUGAACCAAAUCCAUUGGAGCUUGCUUUUAAGUUAUAUUUUCCCACUUGCAGAUCUUAUAGGAACUAGAUCAUAUUCUUCUUCCCUUUAAAAAAUGAAUGGAAAGCUGAGCCUGAAAUAAAUGGAUGAUAUUAUAGUGUUAGGAGCCCAAGAAUCUUGCCCUUGAAAGUGGACUAUAAAUAACAAAGGUAUAUGUAAAGUCACCACCUUCUCUCUCUCUCCCUUUUUCCUAUUGGUUUUUUUAAUCCCGUUCUCCUCUGGGUUUGUGUUUACGACUUCUUUCCCUAGUCUAUAUUUUAACCCCAUCAUGUAUGCAAGUUGAAAAAACUCUGAUAUAUAAUAAAAAGGCAUCACAAGAUCCAAAACUUGAUGCCAUGAAUUCACCCUCACCACCUUUUUCUUUCAGUAAUUAUUGCUCUUUUCUUUCUCUCUCCCUCCCAUCAUUUUCUUUCAAUUUGUUUAUUAUUAUUUUGUUUUUCUUAUGCAAAGUGCCAACCAGCCUAAAGGAUAUGGUAUUACCAUUACUGCCAACACCCCCCCAAUUUCAGUUCUAGAUAAUUUAUUCCACUGUCACCAGCAUUAGAGUCCAAGGUUUUAAUUAUGGCACCAGCAGUAGAAACAAAACAUUUUCUUUCACAAUUUCUCGUUGGGAUUCAUUAGUGGAAACUGUGUUCAGAAAAAAAUAUACAAUUAUUGGAACCAAAUAAAAAAAACCCUAUUAACCAUUUUACAAGAACUCAAAAAAAAAAAAACCCACACUUUUCAGGCCAUAUUUGGAAGAAAGUGAUGUGAAAACCAUGUUACAGCUUUGCAUGAGAGAUAUUUUGUUUUCUUUUGGCUCAUAUUUUGUCGCUUCUAAAACCAAAAAAUAAUAAAAAAGGGUGAUGAUGUUAUUUAAUCCCUUCAAUAAGAAAACAUUAACAUUUUAAAUUUAACAAAUCAAAGAUAAUUGUUAUUACUGAAGCAUAUCCAUUUCUAUCUUACCUACUCCUGUUUUUCAAGUUUCUUGCCCUUUUCCUUUUCCCCUUAUCCCUUCAUAUAUUAUGCUGUCAAUCUUUUCAAGAAUCUUAUCAUGCCACAGUUGUUGAAAGCUACCUUGUUGUCUGUUCAAGUAAAUAUGGUUCAUAGAUAAUUAAUUGGUUUAGAGUGUUCAAUAGGGAACAUUUUAAGCUGUAGAAUAUGCUUUAAAAUCUUUAUUUUUGGCUUUUAGUUACUCAACCUUAAUUUUUCUUCCAUGUACCAUCUUUAAUUGGUUCUCAUUUUGAUGUUGAAAUGUUUAUCUUCACAUUUAUAUUUUUUACUUAAUCACAAAUGCAAUAAUAAAAGAUUUAUAUUUAACUUUUAAUUUCGAAUUUGAUUCUUAAAAUUUAUUUUAAGGUAACAUUAUAAAAUAUUUCUUGAUUUUUUUUUAGUAUAGGAACCAAAAGCUUUGCAUAAGCAUAAAUUCAUUUUUUAUUAUCUUAGAUCGAAAAAUAAGUAAUAAAUAUAUUUAUUAAAAAUUGAUAUAAAAAUAAAUGAAGUUGUAGCUAAAAUGGUAAAAUAAAUAUGUUGAAUAUUAUUGUGUUUUAGGUACGAACCUCAGCAAGAGUACUUUCAAAAUAAUAAUAAUAAUAUGUUUCAAAUUUCUGUACUUUUCUACGUUGAGAAUAUUAUUGUGAGCGUACUUUUGGAUUUUAUAAUUUAAAUUCAAUUGUGAAUAUUAAUAAAAUUAUUUUGUUAAAUUUGUUAGUAUGAUGUUUGAAAUAAUAAUAAUAAAAUCAUUUAGUUAUUAUGAAUUUGAGUUUAACAAAAGAAUUUUAAUGAUUUAACUGUUGGACUUGUAUUUUUAAAUCUGAAAAAUAGAGGGAUUAAAUUCCUUAAAAUAAAAAAUAAGGAUAUUAAAUUCCAAAUGUACAAAAAGUACGGAGGGUUGGACUAUAUUAUAACCAAUAUACUUUAUAAAAGAAUAAUAUUUUAGUCAUAAUCUAAUUGAGUUAGUAUCCAAUUGACUCAUACACUAAGUAUGAAAGAUUUGAAAAUUUUGAAGCAUAGGAGAAUGUAAAA